rnacentral:rRNA from 1 species
AGCAGCCGCGGUAAUUCCAGCUCCAAUAGCGUAUAUUAAAGUUGUUGCAGUUAAAAGCUCGUAGUUGAAUUUCGGGAUUGGCGCAUCGGUCGUGCCUUACGGGGUAUGAACUGGUGCAGUCAAUUUCUCACCUUCUGGAGAACCGCGAUGUCCUUAAUUGGGUGCCGCGGGGAACCAGGACCUUUACUUUGAAAAAACUUAGAGUGUUUAAAGCAGGCAUUUUUGCUUGAAUACAUUAGCAUGGAAUAAUAAAAUAGGACGGCAUGGUUCUAUUUUGUUGGUUUCUAGGACCACCGUAAUGAUUAAUAGGGAUAGUUGGGGGCAUUAGUAUUCAAUUGUCAGAGGUGAAAUUCUUGGAUUUAUUGAAGACUAACUACUGCGAAAGCAUUUGCCAAGGAUGUUUUCAUUAAUCAAGAACGAAAGUUAGGGGAUCGAAGACGAUCAGAUACCGUCGUAGUCUUAACCAUAAACUAUGCCGACUAGGAAUCAGACGAUGUUAAUUUUUUAAUGACUCGUUUGG